rnacentral:lncRNA from 1 species
UUGCAGCCACACACUCUCUCUCCUCUCUUCUCUCUUCUCUAUUCUCUCUGCCUUCUCUCUAAAAUUCCUUCCUUUCUAACUCUCCACCUCUCUUCUCUCCUUCUUCCUCUCCGUCGUCGCCGCCGCCGCGACACUUCCCUUCCUUUUAUACUUUUUUUUCUCUUCUCGGCUGCCUCUUCCCCUGCACCUUUUUAAUUUCCAACGAAGAUGGUCGUUGCCACUGCCUAUGUCUCACCUCUCCUCUCCCAAUCACCAUCACAAAAAGAAAUAAGAGGUAAAAGAUCUCCGAACCCUCUUUUCUACUUUUCUGAUUUCAUCCAGUUCCAGACUUGCAUGUCAUCGGAGGAGGCUCCGGCGAGUCCUCCGGUGACAUGCAUGUCCUGUUCCGUAGAUCUAAGUUUGAAGCCCCUUGUUUUGAUUUUGUGAGUUCUAUUGGUUUUGUUGUUUUAUUUUUUGGUUAGAUGCAGAAAUUGACGGCAGUAGCGGAUAGAGCGGAAACAGGUUGGUAAAAAAAGGUUUUGUAUAUUUUUAUUAGCUGAUUUCUAUUUUGUUGGCCAAGUUUCGUUAUCGGGGUUGUGGUAAUAAUCUAAAUGUUCAAAUUAGGUUUUAUUUUUUUUAAAAAAGUUGUUUUUUGCUAAUGUUAAAAGAAAUUUCAGCAACUUUUAUUGAGUUUUCAAUCUUAUUUUAAGGGUUUGCAAGCCUAUUUACCCAUAUGAAACGUUCAUUCGAUUAGUCAUAAUGAAUAUUACAACCGAGGAUGGUUUUUAAGAGAGUAUAAGUGCAAAAAGAUGUAUGUAUGAAUGUUGCGUGAAUGCUUUUGAAUAGGAAUGUUUGAAUGAUUACCUAUAAAUCGAAUCUUCUUGUUUUUGUCGUAUUUCAGGUGGCGACCCUUUUGCGAGUGACGACGAAGCGAAUGACGACAAAUGUUUUUUAGUGUUUAGUAUUAAUGUAUUGUGCUAUAAUAACUUCUUUCUUUUUUUGGACGGUGUUUUUUAGGGGAUUAUGGGGAUUACGUUAUUGGGGAAAAAAACCCCUCCUUGAAUGUCCUUUUAAAUCAAAAAAUGAGGCUGCCACUACCCCUUUUCUCCAACCACAAUUUGCGACGUUUUCUGACAACACAUGAGAGGUGGCACCCUCUUAAUUAAUAAUAGUAACGGAUCUGAAAUUGGGCCCCAAGAUCGGGCCUGAAAUCGGGCCCGAAAAGCAUUACCACUAAAAUUUGAAAGUCCGGAAAAAUUUGGUUACUACACCAAUUUCAA